AUUGAACGCUGGCGGCAGGCCUAACACAUGCAAGUCGAGCGGAUGAAGGGAGCUUGCUCCUGGAUUCAGCGGCGGACGGGUGAGUAAUGCCUAGGAAUCUGCCUGGUAGUGGGGGAUAACGUCCGGAAACGGGCGCUAAUACCGCAUACGUCCUGAGGGAGAAAGUGGGGGAUCUUCGGACCUCACGCGAUCAGAUGAGCCUAGGUCGGAUUAGCUAGUUGGUGGGGUAAAGGCCUACCAAGGCGACGAUCCGUAACUGGUCUGAGAGGAUGAUCAGUCACACUUGAACUGAGACACGGUCCAGACUCCUACGGGAGGCAGCAGUGGGGAAUAUUGGACAAUGGGCGAAAGCCUGAUCCAGCCAUGCCGCGUGUGUGAGGAAGGUCUUCGGAUUGUAAAGCACUUUAAGUUGGGAGGAAGGGCAGUAAGUUAAUACCUUGCUGUUUUGACGUUACCAACAGAAUAAGCACCGGCUAACUUCGUG
rnacentral:rRNA from 1 species